ensembl:lncRNA
UGUCAAAGCCUCCCCUAGAAAUAGGAGGAGGGGGGUCAUGGGGGGACAACUUCCAAGGGAGGCCCACGUCAAUUUCUGACAAUUUACGGCAGUUUUCGGCAUUGCCCGCAAAUUGCCGCAAACCUGAAAUUCCACGACAAUUUACAGUGCCGCAUACUGCCGAAAAUCCCACUUUUCAUGCAGUGUGCAGACAGCAGUGAAGUCCGAGAGCUCAUCAACCUGAAUGAUGAAAAGACUGAGGCCUUCUCCAGACAAUAUUGCAUCAAUCAGAAAAGCAAUGCAGAAAAUUUUCACUUGGCGGAGAUCGUGGAUAGCCAAACAUUCACCCACCAUAGAGGAAAUAUUUCAAAAGUAUCCAUGCUUCUUGGACAUACCAUCACUUGUAGAUGUCCUAAUUUACACUAAUCUUAAACUAUGCAGCUAUAAAACCACAGAAUAUGUGUAGCGGUAAUCCAACUAAUGUGUACAUAUAGAUUGUAGCAUUUAUAAAUAAGCCAUUAUUCUUUUCUCCCAUAGUAAAAUAAUGGUUUUAUUAAAACAAUGUUGUGUUGUGCCUCUUUUUACUCUGUCGUCUCAACCAACCAGCUUGAUACAGAGUUUAGGUGCAUUCAUGAAGGACAGGGGGACCUGUUCUUAAGGAGCUGGGAGGCCAACACCAUGCCAAUGCUGUUGCCGCCAGGAAGACGGGUGAUAUCGCUUCUUUAGUUGAAGGGAUGGAAGACCAAACUGAUGGUUUCUGAAGUCCUCAACAAAAGGCAGUGAAACCUGCAUGCUACUACCCCCUACAUGGUUUGGUUAAAAGUGCUGCGACUCUCUCAACUUUUGAAAUAUUCAUAGAUCAGAAGGCAAUCUCAAUCGCUUAAAUGCUCCAAUAGCUCUCAACUCUCUCCACAAUCUUACCUUCUCGCAUCAUCUUACUUCAUAUAUUGGCUCAAUUUUG